rnacentral:lncRNA from 1 species
UGGAGAUCAAAUUUUCAAAAAUCUGGAAUAAAUCUUCGUGGGGCCUGGAAGUGCAAACCCUCUACUUUGCAUGCACGCCAAACAAUGCAAGAAGUUGGAAUGAACUCUGAUCAAAUCACCUUUACAACCCAACCAAAUGAGGAAGGAGAGGUACUGAUGUGAUGCCUCACACCAAUAAAGAGGAUGCCCAAGAGAGGGCCCACAGC